UAGGGAAUCUUCCACAAUGGGCGCAAGCCUGAUGGAGCAACACCGCGUGAGUGAAGAAGGGUUUCGGCUCGUAAAGCUCUGUUGUUAAAGAAGAACACGUAUGAGAGCAACUGUUCAUACGUUGACGGUAUUUAACCAGAAAGUCACGGCUAACUACGUGUCAG
rnacentral:rRNA from 1 species